UGACAGCUAAGAGUCUUCUAAUGACCUCCCCUCUUACAGAAAUUUAGGAGCGGCGUUUCUUACAUUAUGAACAAUGUACAGCAUGCACUUGAAACAAUUAUGGUGAAAGGUACUCUGCUUCUGAAGUUCUGCAGCUGAUCAGCCUGACCCAGUCCCUUAAAGAUGGCUUCCCCAGCCUCUAGUUGGCACCUCAAAGUGACACAGCAGGAGGCUAGGGUCAUGGGAAGUUUAAAACUAUAAUUGGGCCAUCCUUGAAGUCUUGUUUUGACAAACUCAGUCAAUAUCUUAUCUCCUGUUUUUGCUUCUGGGUCCUGUGGUGUAUAUCUUCUUUAUGACGUUUGUUUAAUGAUUUCUGUAACACCUUGGAA